rnacentral:lncRNA from 1 species
UUCUAUCAGUCUCCCCUCUUGGAGCUUUAACAGAAGAUCUCUUGGUGUAGUCUCUGGGGGAGGGUUGUUGGGGGUUUGAGCUUCCCUGUCCUCUGGAGGCUUUUGAUUGGCUUAAAGUCCAGCAGUCAAUGAGGAUGGAUGGGGAGCCUGGGCUUCCCUGCGUUCUGGAGACUUUUGAUGGGAUUAGAUUUAGCUGGUUCUUUCAGAAGACUCUGCUUUCUAAGGGGGGAGAGUUCGUGGCCUCCCUGGGCUCUGAGGGCUUCUGAUGGGAUUAGGUUCAGCCUGUUUGUACUGAAUGAGCCCUAAAGCAAAAAUCCUCCUCCUCCACAAUCUGUGUUGAAUGCCCGGAGACUGGCCCAGGUUGCCUUUAAGGUAAGCCCUUCGCCGACCCUGUUUCUGUUCUUUCAGAAGCUCUGAGGGCUCCUGAUGCGAUUAGGUUCAGCUGGUGUGGGCCGAAUGAUCCCCGAGCCAAAAAGAAAAAAAAAAGAAAAAAAACAACCUCCUCCUCCACAAUCUGUGUUGAAUGCCCGGAGACUGGCCCAGGUUACUUUCAAGGAGACUGGCUCAGGUUGCUUUCAAGGUUCUAAGCCGCCAUCUUCUGGAGUAGGAAGAUAUCUUUUUGAUUCCAUGCCCAACAUACUAUCUACUUUGCCUCCUCACUGCCUCCUUUGUACAUAGUAUCUAUUUAAUGGUUUUUGCUCUACACCAAAUAAAACUGAAUGCCUGAACA